rnacentral:rRNA from 1 species
UACGUAGGGUACUAGCGUUGUCCGGAUUUAUUGGGCGUAAAGGGCUUGUAGGUGGUUUGUCGCGUCGUCUGUGAAAUUCCGGGGCUUAACUCCGGGCGUGCAGGCGAUACGGGCAUAACUUGAGUACUGUAGGGGAGACUGGAAUUCCUGGUGUAGCGGUGAAAUGCGCAGAUAUCAGGAGGAACACCGGUGGCGAAGGCGGGUCUCUGGGCCGUUACUGACACUGAGGAGCGAAAGCGUGGGGAGCGAACAGG